rnacentral:rRNA from 1 species
CAGAGGUCCCGAGCGUUGUUCGGAUUCACUGGGCGUAAAGGGUGCGUAGGCGGCUUUGCAAGUCUGAUGUGAAAUCUCCGGGCUCAACCCGGAAAUGGCAUUAGAAACUGUGAGGCUGGAGGCUUGGAGGGGGAACUGGAAUACUUGGUGUAGCAGUGAAAUGCGUAGAUAUCAAGUGGAACACCGGUGGCGAAGGCGAGUUCCUGGACAAGACCUGACGCUGAGGCACGAAAGCUAGGGGAGCAAACAGGAUUAGAUACCCUGGUAGUCCUAGCUGUAAACGGUGCACGUUUGCUGUAAGCGGAAUCGACCCCGUUUGUGGCGAAGCUAACGCGAUAAACGUGCCGCCUGGGGAGUACGGUCGCAAGAUUA